rnacentral:sRNA from 1 species
CUUGGUCAUUUAGAGGAAGUAAAAGUCGUAACAAGGUUUCCGUAGGUGAACCUGCGGAAGGAUCAUUAAUGUAACCGGACCGGUCCUCUGCCGUCAAACGCAGCGGAUCGGAAAGGGAGAUAUCAUACACCCUGUGUUUAUUUACCUUUGUUGCUUUGGCGGGCCGCCCUUUAGGCGUCGGCUCCGGCUGAUCGCGCCCGCCAGAGGACCCAAACUCUUUUAUCAGUGAUGUCUGAGUACUAUAUAAUAGUUAAAACUUUCAACAACGGAUCUCUUGGUUCUGGCAUCGAUGAAGAACGCAGCGAAAUGCGAUAAGUAAUGUGAAUUGCAGAAUUCAGUGAAUCAUCGAAUCUUUGAACGCACAUUGCGCCCGCUGGUAUUCCGGCGGGCAUGCCUGUUCGAGCGUCAUUUAACCACUCACGCCUAGCGUGGUAUUGGGGCACGCGGUCUCCGCGGCCCUCAAAAUGAGUGGCGGCGCCGGUGGGCUCUAAGCGUAGUACAUACUCCCGCUAUAGAGUUCCCCCGGUGGCUCGCCAGAACCCCCAAUUUUUACAGGUUGACCUCGGAUCAGGUAGGGAUACCCGCUGAACUUAAGCAUAUCAAUAAGCGGAGGAA